rnacentral:rRNA from 1 species
UACGAAGGGGGCUAGCGUUGCUCGGAAUCACUGGGCGUAAAGGGUGCGUAGGCGGGUUAUUAAGUCAGAGGUGAAAUCCUGGAGCUCAACUCCAGAACUGCCUUUGAUACUGAUAGUCUUGAGUAUUGGAGAGGUGAGUGGAACUGCGAGUGUAGAGGUGAAAUUCGUAGAUAUUCGCAAGAACACCAGUGGCGAAGGCGGCUCACUGGCCCAUUACUGACGCUGAGGCACGAAAGCGUGGGGAGCAAACAGG